rnacentral:misc_RNA from 1 species
GAAAUGCGAUAAGUAAUGUGAAUUGCAGAAUUCAGUGAAUCAUCGAAUCUUUGAACGCACAUUGCGCCCGCCAGUAUUCUGGCGGGCAUGCCUGUUCGAGCGUCAUUUCAACCAUCAAGCCCCCGGCUUGUGUUGGGGACCUGCGGCUGCCCGCAGGCCCUGAAAAACAGUGGCGGGCUCGCUGUCACACCGAGCGUAGUAGCAUACAUUCUCGCUCAGGGCGUGCUGCGGGUUCCGGCCGUUAAACGACCUUCAUAACCCAAGGUUGACCUCGGAUCAGGUAGGAAGACCCGCUGAACUUAAGU